rnacentral:rRNA from 1 species
UACGUAGGGUGCAAGCGUUGUCCGGAAUUAUUGGGCGUAAAGGGCUCGUAGGUGGCCAACUAAGUCAGACGUGAAAUCCCUCAGCUUAACUGGGGAACUGCGUCUGAUACUGGAUGGCUUGAGUUUGGGAGAGGGAUGCGGAAUUCCAGGUGUAGCGGUGAAAUGCGUAGAUAUCUGGAGGAACACCGGUGGCGAAGGCGGCAUCCUGGACCAACACUGACACUGAGGAGCGAAAGCCAGGGGAGCAAACGGG